UACGUAGGGUGCGAGCGUUAAUCGGAAUUACUGGGCGUAAAGUGUGCGCAGGCGGCCGCGCAAGUCGAGUGUGAAAGCCCCGAGCUUAACUUGGGAACUGCGCUCGAAACUACGUGGCUGGAGUGUGGCAGAGGAAGGUGGAAUUCCAGGUGUAGCGGUGAAAUGCGUAGAUAUCGAGAGGAACACCAGAGGUGAAGACGGGUUGCUGGGCUGACACUGACGCUGAGGCGCGAAAGCCAGGGGAGCAAACAGG
rnacentral:rRNA from 1 species